rnacentral:rRNA from 1 species
CAGUAGCCGCGGUAAUACGUAGGUCCCGAGCGUUGUCCGGAUUUAUUGGGCGUAAAGCGAGCGCAGGCGGUUAGAUAAGUCUGAAGUUAAAGGCUGUGGCUUAACCAUAGUACGCUUUGGAAACUGUUUUACUUGAGUGCAAGAGGGGAGAGUGGAAUUCCAUGUGUAGCGGUGAAAUGCGUAGGUAUAUGGAGGAACACCGGUGGCGAAAGCGGCUCUCUGGCUUGUAACUGACGCUGAGGCUCGAAAGUGUGGGGAGCAAACAGGAUUAGAUACCCCCGUAGUCCCUGUCUCUUAUACC